rnacentral:rRNA from 1 species
GACGAACGCUGGCGGCGUGCUUAACACAUGCAAGUCGAACGGAAAGGCCUCUUUCGGGGGGUACUCGAGUGGCGAACGGGUGAGUAACACGUGAGUAACCUGCCCUUGACCUUGGGAUAACUUCAGGAAACUGGGGCUAAUACCGGAUAGGUGCUCCUUCUGCAUGGUGGGGGUUGGAAAGUUUCGGCGGUUGGGGAUGGACUCGCGGCUUAUCAGCUUGUUGGUGGGGUAGUGGCAUACCAAGGCUUUGACGGGUAGCCGGCCUGAGAGGGUGACCGGCCACAUUGGGACUGAGAUACGGCCCAGACUCCUACGGGAGGCAGCAGUGGGGAAUAUUGCACAAUGGGUGGAAGCCUGAUGCAGCAACGCCGUGUGCGGGAUGACGGCCUUCGGGUUGUAAACCGCUUUCGCUCAUGACGAAGCUUUGUGUGACGGUAGUGGGUAAAGAAGCACCGGCUAACUACGUG